ACUGGCAGAGGGUACUGCCGGGUAUUGAAGGAUUCGUAGGAGUUCGCCAGGGAAGUGGGACACGACCGCCUCUUGUAAACCCGGCGCCAGGCACAGAGGUCUCCGUCUCUCCACCGGGGGCUUCAUCCUUCCAGGGAGGAGAAGAGGGACUCCAGAAUGGCUGAGGAGAAGAAGCUGAAGCUUAGCAACACUGUGCUGCCCUCGGAGUCCAUGAAGGUGGUGGCUGAAUCCAUGGGCAUCGCCCAGAUUCAGGAGGAGACCUGCCAGCUGCUAACGGAUGAGGUCAGCUACCGCAUCAAAGAGAUCGCACAGGAUGCCUUGAAGUUCAUGCACAUGGGGAAGCGGCAGAAGCUCACCACCAGUGACAUUGACUACGCCUUGAAGCUAAAGAACGUCGAGCCGCUCUAUGGCUUCCACGCCCAGGAGUUCAUUCCUUUCCGCUUCGCCUCUGGUGGGGGCCGGGAGCUUUACUUCUACGAGGAGAAGGAGGUUGAUCUGAGCGACAUCAUCAAUACCCCUCUGCCCCGGGUGCCCCUGGACGUCUGCCUCAAAGGUUGGGGGAGGGGAGAGCAGGGUGGCAGGGAGGAGGGAAAGGAGGACAGAUGUGUGUGGGUGUGAGGAGCCGCACAAUAGAAGAAAAGCUCAGUGUGAGAUCCCUGGUGAGUUGCAAGGGGAGCAGGAGUGGAAACACGCUUCCAUAGCAUGGGGCAACUCCCCAGUGUCCAUGCGUGGCAAUUCACCUUGACACCUGCCUUCCUUGCAGCUCAUUGGCUGAGCAUCGAGGGCUGCCAGCCAGCUAUCCCCGAGAACCCGCCCCCAGCUCCCAAAGAGCAACAGAAGGCCGAAGCCACAGAACCCCUGAAGUCAGCCAAGCCAGGCCAGGAGGAAGACGGACCCCUGAAGGGCAAAGGUCAAGGGGCCACCACAGCCGACGGCAAAGGGAAAGAGAAGAAGGCGCCGCCCUUGCUGGAGGGGGCCCCCUUGCGACUGAAGCCCCGGAGCAUCCACGAGUUGUCUGUGGAGCAGCAGCUCUACUACAAGGAGAUCACCGAGGCCUGCGUGGGCUCCUGUGAGGCCAAGAGGGCGGAAGCCCUGCAAAGCAUUGCCACGGACCCCGGGCUGUAUCAGAUGCUGCCACGGUUCAGUACCUUUAUCUCGGAGGGGGUCCGUGUGAACGUGGUUCAGAACAACCUGG
rnacentral:sRNA from 1 species